rfam:Pteropus alecto contig57576, whole genome shotgun sequence.
GGCUCCAUAGUGUAGUGGUUAGCACGUCUGCUUUACACACAGAAGGUCCUGGGUUUGCGCCCCAGGUGGAGCCA